CGGGCGAUUAGUUCUAAUCGCCCGCUACAGCGGGCGAUUAGAACUAAUCGCCCGCUACAGCGGGCGAUUAGUUAGUAAUCGACCCUGUUGAAACAAAAGAAACCCGGGCAACUAUGCUAUUACGCCAGUAAAUAAUGUUGUGUGAUGUUGUCAUUGUCUUUAAAUUAUUUUUAAUACUAUUGUCUAUGCCCAGUGGGCGUCUGAAGUGGCUUGAGCCCCCUAACUUUCAGAAGCAGAGGGUUGAGCCCCCCCCUAAAAAUUCUAAGUGAAUCUCGAAAUGAAUGCACAAUUGCACACGUUUUGAGUUUGCUUAAUUAUAUUUGCCCUGUCAAAAUAAUCAUUAAAAACAAAAAAGCGGCUGUCAAUGUGCUAAAAUCGCACAGACACCUUGGUCAAAUUGUCAUUUUGUGAUGCCCCUCCCUACAAGGGCAUUUAUCUGAUUAAAUUAAAUGUUUAUUAGAUUAAAUGCAAUAGUAGAUAAGAUUAUUAGUAUUGAACUUGAAGUGUAAGUGUAAUAGGGCAUGAGAGCUCGUAAGAGUAAUAGGGCAUGAGAUUUGCAAACUUAACUGCUCUGACAAACUCCUGGAAAGUAUUGUUUAAAACACCUAAAAAUACUAUAUAACCCUAAAAUAUUUGCCUCUUUUUUGAAAGACACCUCUUUUCUAAUAAAUGCCUCCUGUAAAAGUUUGAACAUUUAAUAAACCUCAGGGGCAAACAAUAUUAGAUAAUUUACAGGUUUGAUAUACCAGUAUAUGCAAUUAAUAAUCAUUAUGUUAAAAACACAAGUUAGAAAUCUGCUGGGAUGAGUGAACCAUAGCAAAACAUACAAUUCAAUAUCAACUCUAUUCUAAUUGAUAUGCACCUAAAUACUAUUGUGGUCACUAAAUACUAUUGUGCAUGCUCACUAAAUACUAGUGUGGUUUGCCAUGCAAAUGUUUUAUUUUUUGUUGGAUAUUAUAUAGGUUGUAUGAAACUCCUGUUAAGCCAGCAACUCCUGCGCAGAAGUCAAUGAAUUCCAUGAAGUGGACUAAAACAUUUAAUGUUGAUGGAUUAGAUCAUGUUAGAGGAAACCUAAUUGAUAAACUAGAUGACAUUGAGAUACAACAAGGUGAUGAAAUAUGUCCAAAUACAUUUAAAAAUUGAAAGCAAAAUAUCUACCAGGAAUAUGUUUCCUAUAAGGGUUUACAGUAGGAAACCAGACGGAGUAUUGAGUGUGGUGAAUAAUCAUUCUCCGUCAGUGUAUUUAUAAACCCAAAAGUAUUAAGGUUUGCUAGCUUCGCUAGUCCAAUUCAAACAUGAAUACUUUGUGUUUCUUUUUUACAUUAGACGAUAUUUAACUUCCUGGGAGAAAAACACUUGUAUAGGUAAUAGCAUGGUUUUGAGUGCAAUUUGGAUAUAACAUGCACGAGUGAGUUUUUCAAAGACCUCUUCUGAAUGGACACAGAAGAUGUCCAAGUCUUCCAUACAGAGAGGCACAAAUUGAGAGGCAUGUCUGCCCAUGACUGGAUGAUAACAGCGUCUGUGCAUGACAACAUACAGCGUUUGUGUCUUAAAUUGUUUGAAAAGACUAAGUUGCAAAGUGGUAAUAAAUUAAAGUCACUUAUAGUAUACCUACAAGAUUUAGUGAACAUGGUCAGUAGCUUCGUAAUUCAGACAAAUUAUCAAUAUAACAGGUGUGAAUUUUGUCUGCGCUGGUCAAUAAAUUGCAGGCGCACGCGGAAAAUUAUUUUAAAAUUUGUUAAAAUGAGCAAAAACAAGGUUUCGAGUGCCUUUUUUGACGAGGAAACAGUGGAUUUAUGAGAAUUAAAGUUCUUUUCUCCAGCGUUUAUGACAAAAGUAUAUUAUUCUUCUACGAAACAUAAGCGAAAUUUUAUACUCUCUUCGAAAAUGCUAGUUGUUUUGGCUCCGUGAACAGAUAAAAUUAGAAAGAUAAACUUACGGUGGGUUUGAAUUUCGUUUUUCAACACAUUUUUCUAUACAAAAAAUGCUGAAAUAGUUUACUUACUCUCAAAACCUUUAAAAUUUCGGGGGGCAAAAAUCGGGAUUUCGCGAAAAAUAAGAAAAAGCCAAAUUUUCAACCUAAGAUUGCAAAAAGUCUAGUCGAGAGCCUCAAAACGAGACUAUCCCUAAACAAUUGCUUGAAACUAUGUUAAUUCAUUAAUCAAAGUUUUUUCUAUAUGAAAAUUCGCGUUGAUACCAAAAACGGCGGUCGCGUUUACAUCAUUUGUAAUAGUGAAAUAGUCCCAAUAAGUACCUGUACGAAUCCGGCCAGAAAUUGCAUGCUUUUGCUAAUCUUGCUUGUUAAGGCAUAUCGCUUGAAAGAUUAAAGCCCACAUAUGUCAAAAAAGUAGAUAGUUUUGAAAUCCUGUGAAUAUCUUGUCCUCUGCUGGCAUUUACAUGGUAAUAGUUAAGCAGGAAAAUCGACACAAAUAAAUUAAAAUUUUCUCGAGAGCCUCAAAACCAAAUAUGGUUGAAAAUACUUAUGAUUGCAUAUACUUUAUAUUGAGAAGUAAUUUGUUUACCUCAAAAUUCG